AUGGUACUCCCCCGUCCCAAAAUUCUUCUUUUAGAUUUGUCUAGAUAUGGAUGUAUCUAGUACUAAACCGCAACUUGAUACAUUUGUAUUUAGAUAAAUUUAAGACAAAAAUUUUGAAACAGAGGGAGUACGUA
rfam:Triticum aestivum genome assembly, contig: Triticum_aestivum_CS42_TGACv1_scaffold_133571_2BL